rnacentral:rRNA from 1 species
UACGGAGGAUGCAAGCGUUAUCCGGAAUGAUUGGGCGUAAAGCGUCCGCAGGUGGCUGUGUAAGUCUGCUGUUAAAGAGUGAGGCUCAACCUCAUAAAGGCAGUGGAAACUACAUGGCUAGAGUGCGUUCGGGGCAGAGGGAAUUCCUGGUGUAGCGGUGAAAUGCGUAGAGAUCAGGAAGAACACCGGUGGCGAAAGCGGAUCUCUGGGCCUUACCUGACGCUCAGGCGCGAAAGCUAGGGGAGCGAACUGG